CCAAGGAAGGCAGCAGGCGCGCAAAUUACCCAAUUCCGAUACGGAGAGGUAGUGACAAUAAAUACUGAUACAGGGCUCUUUUGGGUCUUGUAAUUGGAAUGAGUACAAUUUAAACCUCUUAACGAGGAACAAUUGGAGGGCAAGUCUGGUGCCAGCAGCCGCGGUAAUUCCAGCUCCAAUAGCGUAUAUUAAAGUUGUUGCAGUUAAAAAGCUCGUAGUUGAACCUUUGGCCUGGCUGGCAGGUCCGCCUCACCGCGUGCACUUGUCCGGCCGGGCCUUUUCUUCUGGAGAACCGCAUGCCCUUCACUGGGUGUGUUGGGGACCAGGACUUUUACUUUGAAAAAAUUAGAGUGUUCAAAGCAGGCCUUUGCUCGAAUACGUUAGCAUGGAAUAAUAGAAUAGGACGUGCGGUCCUAUUUUGUUGGUUUCUAGGACCGCCGUAAUGAUUAAUAGGGACAGUCGGGGGCAUCAGUAUUCAAUUGUCAGAGGUGAAAUUCUUGGAUUUAUUGAAGACUAACUACUGCGAAAGCAUUUGCCAAGGAUGUUUUCAUUAAUCAGUGAACGAAAGUUAGGGGAUCGAAGACGAUCAGAUACCGUCGUAGUCUUAACCAUAAACUAUGCCGACUAGGGAUCGGGCGGUGUUUCUAUUGUGACCCGCUCGGCACCUUACGAGAAAUCAAAGUGUUUGGGUUCUGGGGGGAGUAUGGUCGCAAGGCUGAAACUUAAAGGAAUUGACGGAA
rnacentral:rRNA from 1 species